rnacentral:tmRNA from 2 species
GGGGGCGACUUGGCUUCGACGUGGAUUACGAAACCCAAGGUGCAUGUCGAGGGACAGAUUACCUCGUAAAUCCAGCUGUAAAACUGAUAGUUGCAAACGACGACAACUACGCACUAGCUGCUUAAUAACCAGCCUAGUGCCCUCUGACCGGGCAGUGCUUAUGCUCUCGUAAUCAGGGGUCGAUUCUCAUAAGAUCGCGCUGAAGUACGUCUGGGACUGAUGCGUUAAAACCCUACAGAAUCGCUAUCUGUGUUCCCUGCCCGUCGGGUUGCAGGUAGUUAAACUUAAUAGGCGUGGAUAAGCAUGUAGAGCCGAAGGCAGAGGAUUUGCGGACGGGGGUUCAAUUCCCCCCGCCUCCACCA